AGACAUACAGAAGGAAAACCCUACUUUCAGCAAUUACCCUACUGCCUCUAAGCCUUGUAGAAGAUCUUAUUUGAUUUAGUUGUUGCUGUUGAGAAGAUGAACUCAUUCCUCCGCACGAAAAAGACUAGGCCAUACUCCUUCCAACAAGAUGAAAUUGCGGUAUUAGAUUUAGGGCAUAAAGCUAGAUCUUAUCUGCUGCUGCUCAUAAAAAUGAGUCGAGUAAUAGUAGAGACAAGUGGUGGCUUGAUUUGUUAUAGAAUCUUGUAGUGGGCAAUGAGUGCAGAGAUGAAACCCAUUGAUGUUAACAAGUUAGGAAUAUUCAGCUGAAGUGUGUGCUUUUAAUGAUUUGAUCUUCUUGAUCAGAAAAAAGGGCAUAACAAUAUUUAAUGCCCAUUUAGUAUGGUAUUAAAGGCUCAUUAAUUUGCAUCUUGAAGUGCUUACGUUGUUCAAAA